ensembl:lncRNA
CGGGCGGCAGCCGUCGGGUGGGUGGCGGCAUCCGAGCGGCGGGGCCGUGCCCUGUGACGGCGAGCGGGACGUCGGGCGGUGUUUGUCCCGGGUGUCUCUCCCUGCUCAGCCUUAUUCCACAGCAGUGCCGCUUCUGCGGAGCCGUCUCAGCCUCCAGCGGCCGCCCUUCCUCACAGCACCGCGCGUUCCGCCCUUCACAGUCCCGUGGGCGCCCCUCUCCUCACAGCGCCUCUCCUCACGGCCCCUCUCCACAUCCCACCGCGCUCAAACACGGGCUGGAAAUCCCGCCCGGAGCCACCGCCCGCUCCUCUGGCCAUGUCCCCGCGGUGCUGUCCCUCACGUCGCUGGGAUAUCGCAGCGUUGCAGGCAGGCGGCGGGAUUCAGCCCCGCUGCUCCUGCAAACCGGCCCUGGUGCGCCGCGCGCAGAGCGGGCAGCGGGACGGGGCUCCCAGCAGCGCCUCAGAGCGGCGGGGCAGCCCUUUGCUCGCCAGUUGCACGUUCACGGAGAAUGUAUCUGUGUUGGCCACUGCAAGUUACAAAGAACUUCGCUUUAGAUUAAAUGAGGGCCUCCUAGGAGCUCUCUUAAAGUUAGCGGUCGUUACUGUUUCGACAGCGCUGCCCCGGCUGCUGUUUCUGCCCGGCCCUGCCCUGUGAGGCCUCGUGAAAUGCCGCUCUGUGGAGCUGAGUGCAGAAAGGGACCGCGUCCGUCUCAGGAGAAGCUGUAGUUUUAAUCCCACCCAGUAAUGCUGUAAGUACUCCUUGGCUUUGUUGAAACACUCGUGAUAUUGUAUAGCCAAAGGAAACAACAAUUAGAUGUUAAUUAGGAACGUAGGAUACGUGUACCUAUACAUCUUCAUCAGGAUGGUUUUUAAGGCUGGAGGAACGUGCCCGCCGUCCGCUCGGUCUCUGGGAACGUAACGAGCCGUGACGGCGGUGUGCUCUGCUGCUGAGCCCCGCUGCCAUUUGGCACUCGUUCCUAGAAUAUACACCAUUUUGCUCUCCUUUUCUCCAGCUUGUCUUUCCGUUUGAAAGGCAUGUGUUUCUUUCCUCUCAAAAAUAUGAGUGCAGCCCUUCAAAGUACAGUUCAACUGUCCGAAGCUUGUAAAGAGAAGAUUCUGCUUUUCUGUGCAUUGUUGGAGUAUUGCUGUUGGGCUUUGUCACUUCCUUAAGAACUGAGUACGUAUAUGUAUUCCUGCCUACUCAGCUGUCUCUGCUGUUACCUGUAGGACCAGAGGAAAGCUAAAGGAAUCUUAUCCCUGCGUCCUCUUCCAGUACAUCAUGUCUUCCC